rnacentral:rRNA from 1 species
AAUGAACGCUGGCGGCGUGCUUAACACAUGCAAGUCGAACGGUGAACGAGGGAGCUUGCUCCCUCCGGAUCAGUGGCGAACGGGUGAGUAACACGUGAGCAAUCUGCCCUGGACUCUGGGAUAAGCGUUGGAAACGACGUCUAAUACCGGAUACGAGGCGUGGGGGCAUCCCCAACGCCUGGAAAGAACUUCGGUCCAGGAUGAGCUCGCGGCCUAUCAGCUAGUUGGUGAGGUAACGGCUCACCAAGGCGACGACGGGUAGCCGGCCUGAGAGGGUGAGCGGCCACACUGGGACUGAGACACUGCGCAGACUCCUACGGGAGGCAGCAGUGGGGAAUAUUGCACAAUGGGCGCAAGCCUGAUGCAACAACGCCGCGUGAGGGACGACGGCCUUCGGGUUGUAAACCUCUUUUAGCAGGGAAGAAGCGAAAGUGACGGUACCUGCAGAAAAAGCACCGGCUAACUACGUGCCAGCCGCCGCAGUAAUAC